rnacentral:rRNA from 1 species
UACAGAGGGUGCGAGCGUUAAUCGGAAUUACUGGGCGUAAAGCGCACGUAGGUGGCGACGUAAGUCGGGUGUGAAAGCCCCGGGCUCAACCUGGGAAUUGCAUUCGAGACUGCAUUGCUGGAGUACGGAAGAGGAAGGCGGAAUUCCCGGUGUAGCGGUGAAAUGCGUAGAUAUCGGGAGGAACAUCAGUGGCGAAGGCGGCCUUCUGGCCCAGUACUGACACUCAAGUGCGAAAGCGUGGGGAGCAAACAGG